UACAGAGACUGCAAGCGUUAUUCGGAUUCACUGGGCGUAAAGGGUGCGUAGGCGGUUGGGUGUGUCAGAUGUGAAAUCCCGAGGCUCAAUUUUGGAACUGUGUCUGAAACUACUCGACUAGAGUAUUGGAGAGGGUAACGGAAUUCACGGUGUAGCAGUGAAAUGCGUAGAUAUCGUGAGGAAUACCAGAGGCGAAGGCGGUUACCUGGACAAUUACUGACGCUCAGGCACGAAAGCGUGGGGAGCAAAAGGG
rnacentral:rRNA from 1 species